CCCGGGGGUGAGGAGGGAUGCCGUAGAACAGCAGACGUCCCCCACGGAGACUCCCGAUCUCAGUGACAAUGAGGACACCACAAACACAACACUAGAAACGUGCAUGGCCAGCUUUCACGAGGCAGAUCCUGCUGGCCAGGCACUUUCCUGUCAUGUUUACAGCAACCCCACAAGCCAGGGGAAGCUCCAGGCCUGAUUCAGCCCUGCUCACCUCCCAC
rnacentral:lncRNA from 1 species